CUGGGGCACAGGGUGCCGGGCGGCCAUGUUGUCUCGGCAGGCGCAGUCUCUGCUCCAUCUGCGGCUCGGCUGAGGGAUGUCACUGACUACAUCUAGCUUAGGUUUGCGUGGGCUCUCUCUGGUCUCGUUUUCCUGGCAGCAUGGGUGAGAAGGGGCAGGCAGACACUUACUGGCUUUGGAGAGGAGCUGCCGCAGCUGAAGACACCAGAAAAAGGUAAAGCAGGAGGAGGAUGAAGUGAAGGGGAUUCUGCCAGCUGCUGCCCUCAGCUGCAGACAAGAGGCAGCUGGCCUCUCUGGGCGAGAGAGGAUCCCUCUGACGCGUCCUCAGCAGACCAGAUCUCCAACAUGCACUAUCGGGUGGAGUCAAGCGACUGGAGCUACAGAAGAGGAAGGGAGGAAAGGACAGACAGAUGGAUAAAGAAGCGCCUGAACUGUACAAUUGCCUGGCAGCGCAGAUAGUUGGAGCUCCACCCAUCACAGGUUUUUUUUCUUCUCCAUCUCUUUGUCCUGAUUUCCAUCCCUCUCUGUUUUUCACAGUCUCUCUGGCCUGUUCCUUUGUCUCUCUCUGCCUGUAUGUGUGUCCCCCCCCAUCCUUGUCUUCCCCUCUCCCUCCUUCCUUCUGCUUCUCUUUCUCUCUCACUCUGUCCUGUUAACUGUCACUGUGUUUUUUUCAAUCUGUAUCCCACUGUCCCUAUUCUUCUUCCUGUUCAUCUCUUCUUUAUCCCUCUCUGCUGCUCCCUGACUGUUACUCACCUCUUCCUCCAUCUAUCUGCAGGAGUCCUGAUACCUCUGUCUCUCUCUCUCUCUCCCCCCAUCCCUCUGUGCUGUUCGCUGUCCCUGUUUUUCUCUGUGUUAUUCUUGUCCUGCUCCCUGCCCCAUUGUUUCUCGCAGUAUCCCUCUGUCCUGCUCCCCGUCCCUAUUGCUGCCCCUAUUCUUUUUUACUCCCUCGCCUUGCUGCCCACCCUAGGCUUUUUUUGCAGUCUCUACCCUGCCCCCUGCCCUUAUUUUUCUUUCUCUCUCCUACUGUACUGUUAUGCUUGUUGUCCCUCAGUACACUGCACAGAAAUGGUGUUGGGAUCUGCAGGGACAGGUGGGACCUGCUGCAAUUGCUUAUGAAUGUGAACUGGACUUGAUGGACUUGAAGGACUUGAAUGAAACCAGACUGACUGUGUAUGGUUUUCUUCCCAACUCCAAUUCCGACCUCCAUGCUCGGCACCAAUGAACAAGAGACCUUGUGCUGUUUUCCAGAUGUCAGUGGCUGCCAGUUAGCGGAGAACAUCGCUUAGGUAAUGGUGCAGUUGUUCUGUGAACAGUACAAGACAGACAUUAAGUCCAGAGGAGGCCACGAAGUUGAUCCGAGGGCUGGAGCACCUGUGCUAUGAGGACAGGCUGAGAGAGUUGGGAUUGUUCAGCGUGGAGAAGAGAAGGCUCCGGGGAGACCUAAUUGCGGCCUUCCAGUACCCGAAGGGGCCUAGAGGAAAGAUGGGGAGGGGCUGUUUAUCAGGGGGCGUGGUGGCAGGAGAAGGGGGAAUGGGUUUAAGCUGACGGAGGGGAGAUGGAGAUGAGAUGUGAGGCAGAAAUUCUUCCCUGUGAGGGUGGUGAGGCCCUGGCACAGGUUGCCCAGAGAGGUUGUGGCUGCCCCUGGCUCCCUGGCAGUGUUCAAGGCCAGGUUGGAUGGGGCUUUGGGCAACGAUUAGCUUUGAAUGUAACAAGGCCUAUGAGUAAUUAGUGUGUACGGAGAAGAUAUCCUAACCUUGAGAACAGAAACCUCCUGGCAGGAUUGCCCAAACAGGGUUGAUGAGGAAGAACAGCUUGGCCGGACAACAGAGUUGGGGAACAUGCAAGGACAAGAAAUUGUCCUCAAGACCAUAAAAGGGAAAAAGGAGUGGGGGGCUAACUCCCCAAAUGACCACCGACGACCACGCGAGACCCCCGCGCAUGCAUAGUGUAGUUUUGCAAGGCCAGCGUUAUGUAAAUGCAGUAGCUGAGCAGAGAGGUGGAGAUUUCUCGGAAAAUGUAUGACAAUUCAUGUCGUAAGGUAUAUAAAGGGUGAACUUUUGCUUUAGGGUAUGCACGAUAGGCGGAGCUACACCCCAUGCAUCCGGUGCCUAAUAAAGCAAUGCCUGCUUUCUAAUACUAAAA